AGUGUUUCCGAUGCUGAUUUUAUUUUGAGCAUUCUUCGUGGCCUUGGUUUAGAUUAUGAAUCGUUUGCCACCUCUAUUACUACCUGUCUUGAUCCGAUUGCUAUCGACGACUUCUUUGGGCUUCUUCUCAAUCAAGAAA